rnacentral:rRNA from 1 species
CCUACGGGUGGCAGCAGUGAGGAAUAUUGGUCAAUGGGCGUAAGCCUGAACCAGCCAAGUCGCGUGUGGGAUGAAGGUUCUAUGGAUCGUAAACCUCUUUUAUAAGGGAAUAAAGUGCGGGACGUGUCCCGUUUUGUAUGUACCUUAUGAAUAAGGAUCGGCUAACUCCGUGCCACCCGCCGCGGUAAUACGGAGGAUCCGAGCGUUAUCCGGCUGUAUUGUGUUUAAAGGGUGCGUAGGCGGCCUUUUAAUUCAGCGGUGAAAGUCUGUGGCUCAACCAUCGAAUUGCCGUUGAAACUGGGAGGUUGGAGGAGGUUUGAGGCAGGCGGAAUGCGUGGUGUAGCGGUGAAAUGCUUAGAUAUCAGGCAGAACCCCGAUGGCGAAGGCAGCCUGCCAAGCCAUGACUGACGCUGAUGCACGAAAGCGUGGGGAUCAAACAGGAUUAGAUACCCUGGUAGUC